UAUUACCCUCUGCAGCACCAGGAAAGCCUGACGUCUUGCAGUCCAUGGGGUCGCAAAGAGUUGGACAUAACUGGGAAACUGAACAACAACAUUACCCUCUAGGUCCUUCCACGCUGUUGAAAAUGGCAAGAUUUUACAUCAGCAGCACUUCUUGCCUGUUCAUUCAACGCCAGCCCCUGGAUGACAGCUGUUGCGCUGUACUCCUGUACUUUUCAAGGUACUGUACUGUAAGCUUAGAAGUGUUUCCUAUACUUUUCUUGUCGGUUUUUAUGUAUUAUUUGUGUGAAAAGCAUUAUAAAGCUAUUACAGUACAAUACAUAUAGCAGAUUGUGUUGGGUACCUAGGCUACUUUGUCAGACUUAACAAAUUGGACUCACUAAUGUGCUCUCAGAAUAGAACUAAUUCAUAUGUAAGGGCUUGCUAUAUUCUUUUUUAUGACUAAUAUUCUAUUAUCUUUAUAAUAUCUUCUUUACCCACUCAUCUAUCAGUGGGCACUUAGGCGCCUUCCAUAUUCUGGCUAUCGUAAAUAAUACUGCAAUGAACAUCAAAAUGCUUAUGCUUUCAAAUUAGUGUUUUCAUCAUUUUUCACUAGUUCAAAUAAUGCUUCCAGGCACGUCUCUAACUUGUUAUUGAGAGUUACUCCUCAAUAGGCUAGAUAUCAUAGAAAACUUCUUAGGUGGUUCCACUGGAAGAAGAGACUGAGAGUAAGUAACACCUUACACUAACUGUACAUUGGAGUUGAAAACAUGCAUACCUACGCCACGCCUUGCUGCAGUUUUGACCUGCCUGGGGCUAUAUGCUGGCAGAUGGAUAAAGAUGUGUCAUUUUCUCCCAGUGACUCUGAUUCUUCCCAUUCAUCCUGUACCUACCCACCCUACAUUUAUGAACCACUGUAACAGUCAAAACUGAGGGAAUAACGUUCGUCUUCAGUGCUGCACUCAGGCCAGAUACCACAAGCCCUGUCGAGAGGAGACCUCGGUCUCUGGCCUGUUGUCUUGACCUCAUGCUCUCCUGCUCUCCUCCCAGUUGCCCAGGACUUCACUAAGGGUCUCUGAGGUAAGUCUCAGCCUGUCCUGGGGUGACUAGAAUGAAAACAGAAAUAGCUAUCCAGGAAGAGAGAAGAGAAUUAAGAUAGCCAUAAAAAGCCUUUCUAAAGGAGCUAAAUAUUUGUAAAGGAAAAAGGAAACUGGGGGGUGACUAGGGUAUAUCCCUGUUCCUUGCCUCCACAUACUCCAGAACAGUGGUUCUCAACCUGGUUUUCUAUCUCCUUUCUCCUCCAUCCCCAGGAACAUUUGGCAGAGUCUGGAGACAUUUUUGGUUGUCACAGCUGGGAGGGACAUCGUGCUACUGGCAUAUACCAUGGAGUCCAGGGCUGCCGCUCUAUAUCCUACAGUGUACAAGACCGUGCCCCACAGCAAAGAGUUCUUCAAACCGCGAUGUCAGUGGUGCCACAGUUGAAGCCCUACAACCCUUUCCUACAACCCUCUCUUUUCUUUUGUUCCCCUGUGCAAUUCUCUACUUCUCUCAGAUUCAAAUGGAAAGAUGACUGCAUCUAACCAGAAUGCUUCCUGGGCCUCAAGCAAUUUCCCUAUGUUCUCAGUCUGUAGUUGGUGAGUCUUUAGCAAGUUUUGUUGAGUUAAGUGACUCCUUAUCUCACUUAUGAGAUCUGGGAACCCAUGGAGAGAUAAGAAUAGUCUAAACACCUGGGUUGGGGCAUGAUCUGUGUUCUUCAGAGUUUGAGAAUUACUGUCCUUAAAUGGCCUUGGACUGUGAUUGCAAAGCUUUUUCUCUCAGAAACUGUUUCUCUAGCUUAACAUCUUCUUAGGAUAUUUCUCAGUGUUGCCUUUCCUCUGGACUAUGAUUCAGAGUCUCCAGUAACCACUGCCCAUCCCCACAAUAUGCCAUUAUGAUUCAUAUUUCUAUUGAACUUGUAAAUUCAACAGAGAACUAGAACUUGUGUUAAUUGUUAUUUGAUAAAUUAAUUUGAUGAAACUAUAUAUACUUUGAAGAAA